GCGCCGGUAGCUCAGUAGCAUAGCAGGGGGACGGUAUCCCAUGUGUACCGGGUUCAAGCCCCGGCCGACGCA